UUUCCAUUUGUUUCCAGAACAAAGCCUUUUCAUCUGUUCCCAGACGAAUCUCUCCAUUUUCCCUGAAAUUGAAACGAAAACCUGCGUUCAUGCAAAUCAACCCUACAAUCCCAAAACCAAAAUUCAUCCAAAUCGUUCCAGUCUUCAACCUCAAAUAGAAAUCAUAGAGUAUCGUGAAUGGCUCGCCUUCCCUAUCUCAAAAACAAAAACAUCUCAGAAACUAGCCUUCCAUCUCGCGGCUGAAUCCCGUUCGGAUUCGGAGAAAAUUUUGAAACCCAGAAAAAGCUUGGGUUUGAUGCAUAUGAAUUGAAUUGCGGCUGAGGCAACUAUUUGUCGCUGUCCCAACCAUGCCAAGCAUGUAAAUUCAUUAUUGAAACCAGAGCCUUUCCAUGCUUGAGAGUUCCACAGGUGAAACGCAUUGCAAGGACUCUUGAUGCUACGAGGCGGGUUCGAUUCGACGACAUGAUAUGUGAAUGGGUCUUUUAUUUGAUAUACUCAUAUAUUUAUUUAAUUUCCAUAUAUACAUCUAAUAAUGAAUUUUCUAUAUGACUGCCAUAAUUAUAUUAACGUUUAUAUGAAAUGCCAUAACGUUGAGAAUUAGAAAAUCAUUAUACAUCUUACGAUAUGCCUUAAUUAACUUUACGGUUAUGAAUAAUACUUCAUUGACUAGGGUUAGUGAAUUAUCGAAUUAUCGAUUUACCAUUGCAUGACUAUGUUUAUGUUAUCUGCUCAUCAUUUGCUACACUGAUGUUAGUACUCGCCCGGCUUAGGACCAGUUUUUUACGUGUAUGUGAACAUCGCAUCGUACGCUCACUUUAGAUCCAUUGUAGGUGCCAGUCCUAUCCUAGAUUGCUAUAGGUAAUUAAGACUCGUAUGUGUUGCGCAUAGGGCCAGUCUUCAAGUGAUUGUAGUACUAGAGUGUAUAUUAUUGUUACACUCGGUCAUGUUCAUGUCAGAAUAACUCUGUAAGAACUCGUAUGUCAGCAUGUGUCGAUGAGCACUCGAUAUGAUAUGUUUGCUUAUGCGAGAUUAUAUGAUUAUGGACGCCAUGCACUUAUUUAUGAGAUAUUGUGCCGUAUUGGAUU